AAGUCGUAACAAGGUCUCCGUUGGUGAACCAGCGGAGGGAUCAUUAUCGGGUCUCUGACUCUAAAACCACUGUGCAUCAAUACUUUUACUGCUGAGGCGGGCCGCUCGCUGGGGGAGCUUGAGCCUGAAAAGGCGGCUCGCCGAAGCAACUUUUACUACCGAUAAACCUGAAAAGAAAAAACUUUCAAAUUAUCACAACUCAUAACAAUGGAUCUCUUGGCUCUGGCAUCGAUGAAGAACGCANCGAAAUGCGAUACCUAACAUGAAUUGCAGAAUUCAGUGAAUCAUCGAGUUUUUGAACGCACAUUGCGCCCUUUGGCAUUCCAUAGGGCAUGUCCGACCGAGCGUCGCAACGCCGCCCGGAUUCCCUUAGGGGAGACCGGUGUUGGGGUUAGCGGGUCGCAAGCCCCGCAGCCCUCAAAUCCAGUGGCGGCUCCUCUGGAACCCUCAGCGCAGUAACAUACCUGUCGCUUCGGAGCUUUAGAGGGGACCUGCCGUAAAACUUCCCUUUUAGGGACUUUACUGGUUGGCCUCGGGUCGGACAAGAUUACCCGCUGAACUUA
rnacentral:rRNA from 1 species